AGGCAACCUCCUUGCGAUGGCAAUGAUGGUGUUAACCUGCUCAUAAAUUAAUUCAUCUUUUGCUCUUCAGACUCGCUGAGAUGGUCUUUUAUUUAUUUCCAUUCAUGAAGCUGGUCUAGUAUGCUGAAGAACAUU